UUUGACAGGAGGUUUAGGCCUCCUACCCUUGGUUGCUUUUUGUGAGCUUUUUUUUGUGAAUUUUAAUGGCAUGAUUCAUGUGGUUACAUUUUGAUUUGGGGGCAACUCUUGAUUACCCUAUCUUGUUUCUCUAACCUGUUUGUUGAGUUUUUUUGUGAGGGCUCACAUGACUCUUGCAGAGAUGGCCUGGUGUUCCACUUUAUU
rnacentral:lncRNA from 1 species